rnacentral:rRNA from 1 species
UACGGGGGGGGCAAGCGUUGUUCGGAAUUACUGGGCGUAAAGGGCUCGUAGGUGGCCAACUAAGUCAGACGUGAAAUCCCUCAGCUUAACUGGGGAACUGCGUCUGAUACUGGAUGGCUUGAGUUUGGGAGAGGGAUGCGGAAUUCCAGGUGUAGCGGUGAAAUGCGUAGAUAUCAGGAGGAACACCGGUGGCGAAGGCGGCAUCCUGGACCGACAUUGACGCUGAGUGAGCGAAAGCUAGGGGAGCAAACGGG